AACGGAGAGGGGGAAAAAAGGAGAAAAAGGAGGAAGCGGAAAUAGAGAAGAGGGAGAACGAAGGGGAGAAGAGAGCCGAGGAUGGAGAGGGAGGAGAAGAGGUCGCCGCUGUCCAGCUCGCACCACCAUCGUCACACACUACUACUGCCUCGUCGCCACCGCCGCACCUUGUUGUCGUAAUCAGAGUCACCACCGACGUCUGUUGAAAGCAUUCGCGUUGCCGCCAGAACCCUUGCCGUCGUCGUUGCCAUUGGACGAAGGAGAGAGGAAAAGAUGCGAUGUACAUAGCAGCUCACUGCCGUGCUUCAUCUCGGCCGCUGCCAUGGAUGCCGGUGAGUUGCACGGUGUCAUCGGGGUUUGAUGAGGAAGAUUCGUAGAUUGGGUUUUCCAAAAUCAAGGUUUGGAAUUUGGUGAAGAUUGGUUCAGUGGUUGGAUUCUUGGAGUUGCUGUUCUGCCACCGCCGUUGCUGUAGCCGUGCCUCUAUUGUCGGAAAACGACGCCGUUGUCGCCGGAGAACCACCGUUGAAGCCGCUACUGCUCUGGUGAGCCUUACCCUCGUUUUGUACGCUUAAGUUAUUUCGUUGCUGUUGUGAGAGAGUGUUUAUGUUGAAUGAAGUUGUUAUUGUGAGUUAUUCAGCUGGCGCCUCCACUAGAGGUAGCUACUGGAGCUGCCGCCGGAACCCUUGUCUUCUUGGUUGGUCAUUUAGAUGGUAUGCAGCAGUUGUGUAAGGUCUUUGGUUGUUCAAGUUGAAACCUUUGCCAAAUGAGUGAGAAUAAACUACACUAGGAGGAGUUUGCAAGCUGUCCCUAGUAUUUUUUAUUCGCCUACUCGUCAAUUCAAGACAUUCCCAGUGAUGAUGGUGGGUACGGGUUCCGUGUCAAGAAGUGCUGGUUCCCUUGUAGAUAUGAUGCGAGAGAAAGAUGAUGAUGGCCGGUUUGCAAGUGGAGAGUGGAAUAGUGAGGAUGGAAGGCUUAGCUGUGGGUAUUAAGAUGGAGGACUUUUACGAUAUUAAAACAUUGAAAAUUGGUGGUAAUUCAAUAUGCUUACUUGGAAUAUUUGAUGGUCAUGGUGGUUCUCCUGUUGCAGAGUAUUUGAAAAAGCAUCUCUUUGAUAAUCUCAUGAAGCAUCCAUUUUUUUUACUGAUGCCAAAUUGGCUAUAAGUGAAACGUACCAAGGACUAUAAUAUCAAAGGCUGGUAAGGCAAUUGCUCUCUGUGAGGAUCAUAAGCCAAACAGAAGUGAUGAACGAAAGAGGAAUUGAUGCGUUUAAACUAAAUUGAGAGUAUUUGAAAAAGCAUCUCUUUGAUAAUCUCAUGAAGCAUCCAUUUUUUACUGAUGUCAA